UCCAGACUCCUACGGGAGGCAGCAGUGGGGGAUAUUGCACAAUGGGGGGAACCCUGAUGCAGCGACGCCGCGUGGGUGAAGGAGCGUUUCGGCGCGUAAAGCCCUCUCGGCAGGGAAGAAGGAGGACGGUACCUGACUAAGAAGCCCCGGCUAACUACGUGCCAGCAGCCGCGGUAAUACGUAGGGGGCAAGCGUUAUCCGGAUUUACUGGGUGUAAAGGGGGCGCAGACGGCAGCGCAAGCCAGGAGUGAAAGCCCGGGGCCCAGCCCCGGGACUGCUCUUGGAACUGCACGGCUGGAGUGCAGGAGGGGCAGGCGGAAUUCCUGGUGUAGCGGUGAAAUGCGUAGAUAUCAGGAGGAACACCGGUGGCGAAGGCGGCCUGCUGGACUGCGACUGACGUUGAGGCCCGAAAGCGUGGGGAGCAAACAGGAUUAGAUACCCGAGUAU
rnacentral:rRNA from 1 species